rnacentral:rRNA from 1 species
CCGUAACAAAGGCCCUACGUCUUUAUCAUCAACCCAUCGCAUGUCUCAUAGAAUGUCAUUCAAUAUCUUCGCCUUAACAAAGCGUCGGUAAACUUAUACAACUUUCAACAACGGAUCUCUUGGCUCUCGCAUCGAUGAAGAACGCAGCGAAAUGCGAUAAGUAAUGUGAAUUGCAGAUUUUCAGUGAAUCAUCGAAUCUUUGAACGCACCUUGCGCCCCUUGGUAUUCCGAGGGGCAUGCCUGUUUGAGUGUCAUUAAAUUCUCAACUCCAUUUGAUUUGUUUCAAACCUGGAGCUUGGACUUGGAGUGUGCUGGCGUUGACCGUCGGCUCCUCUCAAAUGCAUCGGCGGAAUUGACCUUUGACUUCCGAACGUCAGUGUGAUAAUUAACGUUGCGCUGUCGACCGGGGUCGGAGUC